rnacentral:rRNA from 1 species
GUGAGGAAUAUUGGUCAAUGGGCGAGAGCCUGAACCAGCCAAGUCGCGUGAAGGAAGACGGCCCUACGGGUUGUAAACUUCUUUUGCAAUGGAAUAAAAAGAGUUACGUGUAAUUCAUUGUAUGUACAUUGCGAAUAAGGAUCGGCUAACUCCGUGCCAGCAGCCGCGGUAAUACGGAGGAUCCGAGCGUUAUCCGGAUUUAUUGGGUUUAAAGGGUGCGUAGGCGGAUUGGAAAGUCAGCGGUGAAAGUUUGCAGCUUAACUGUAAAAUUGCCAUUGAAACUGUCAGUCUUGAGUGCAAAUGAGGUAGGCGGAAUGUGUUGUGUAGCGGUGAAAUGCAUAGAUAUAACACAGAACACCAAUUGCGAAGGCAGCUUACUGGGAUGCAACUGACGCUGAGGCACGAAAGCGUGGGGAUCAAACAGGAUUAGAUACCUUGUAGUCC